rnacentral:rRNA from 1 species
CUGAGCCAGGAUCAAACUCUACCUUGUUACGAGUUCACCUGAGCCAGGAUCAAACUCUAAGGGCGAAUUCUGCAGAUAUCCAUCACACUGGCGGCCGCUCGAGCAUGCAUCUAGAGGGCCCAAUUCGCCCUAUAGUGAGUCGUAUUACAAUUCACUGGCCGUCGUUUUACAACCGGCUCCUCUUCGGACCUCGCGCUGUCUUAUGAGCCUGCCUUGUAUUAGCUAAUUGGUGGGGUAAAGGCCUACCCAUUCGACUAUCCAUAUCUGGCCUGAAAUAAUGAUCAUCAGGACUGGGACUGAUACACGGCCCAGACUCCUACGGGACGCAGCAUUGGUGAAUAUUGCCCAAUGGGCGAAAGCCUGACUCAGCCCUGCCGCGUGUGUGAAGAAGGCUUUCGGGUUGUAAAGCACUUUAAGUGGGGAGGAAGGCCAUCAAGUUAAUAUCUUGGUGGAUUGACGUUACCCACACAAUAAUCACCGGCUAACUCCCUGCCAAUGUCCGCCCUAAUACAGGUGGUGCAAGCGUUAAUCGGAUUUACUGCGCGCUAAGCGCGCUGAGGCGGCUUGCUCCUUGGAUGUGAAAGCCCUGGGCUCAACCUGGCAACUGCAUUCAAUACUGCCAUGCUAUAGUACCAGAGAAGGGGGUAGAAUUCCCUGUGUACCGGUGAAUGCUUAUAUAUGUGGAGGAAUACCGGGGCUAAAGCCGCCCCUGGUCUCGAUACUGACGCUCAGUGCGAAAGCGUGGGGAGCAAACAGGAUUAUAUACCCUGGUAGUCCACCCCGGUCACGAUGUCUUUACCCUUUGGGGGGACUUUAUCCCCUUAGUGGCCGAUCUUAUGCCAUGAUUAUACCGCCUGAGUAUCCAGCUGGAAAGGUUGAACUUCAAAUGAUGUGUCUGCGGGCCGCUCAGCGCGUCGUUACAUCUCGGUUAAUCUCAAUCCACUCGACAACCUUAACAGCCUGCUGCCCUGGCCAAAUUUUUGACAAGUACAUUCAUUGCACUGGGGCGAA